GACGUAGGGCGCGAGCGUUUGUCCGGAUUUAUUGGGCGUAAAGAGCUCGUAGGCGGCUUGUCGCGUCGUCCGUGAAAACCCACGGCUUAACUGUGGGCUUGCGGUCGAUACGGGCAGGCUGGAGUUCGGUAGGGGAGACUGGGAAUUCCUGGUGUAGCGGUGUAAAUGCGCAGACUAUCAGGAGGAACACCGGUGGCGAAGGCGGGUCUCUGGGCCGAUACUGACGCUGAGGAGCGAAAGCGUGGGGAGCGAACAGG
rnacentral:rRNA from 1 species